AUAGUUGAAGUAUAUAUAGUGUACACCUUAGUUACAUUAAGGAAGUCUUAUUUUAAGCAACUAUU
rnacentral:tRNA from 1 species